CAUUAAUGCACACUCAUUAAUGCACACUCGUUAACCAGAGGGCAGGACGUCUUCACAACUUUCCACUAUGUAGCCAAACAGCCAGAGAACAACUGAUACUCGCUCUGAGCUAAUUUUGCUAAUUCAGCAGUAAAUACCAGUAAAUACCAGUAAGUAUCACUGAUAUUUAUCUUACUAUUCCACAGAUGUGAGUAGAGUACUCAAAAAUCGAGAUCAUAAUAGCUGUAAUGUCUAAAUACUGUUUAUAAGUUAAGAACGAGUCGAGAGCUCGUUCUGAGCUUGUGGCGUGUUUAUUGUUGUCAUGGAAACUCCAUAGCAACCGCCUGACAAGAUGGCUGUUUAGUUACAAAGCUCAUGGAAAUGAUUUCACAUGGGAACUAUUUAAAAUAAGACAGAAGACAUAUAAAGUUACAUGGAAAUUUGGGUAUUUUAAGGAUGAAACUGAAAAUAAUUUAUAUAACAUAAUUACAAAAUAACAAAAUUAGGCAAAAUAAACUUUUUAUUGGAUAUGUGAGUUAAUAUUUAUACAUUUAGUUUUCAUUUGAUUUUGAUUUUCAGGCCAUUUGGUUUUCAGGUCAUCUCUGUUUCUCUGCAGCUUUCUGACUCGCUUUGUUGUCACAAGGCUUCUCAAAUUUUCAGGCCACACCUUAGCUUUGAUUUUACUUUGAUUUUACUGCUGCAUUGUUGUUGAAGUGCAGCAUAUUGUUACUCUGUGUGUUGUUGAAAUGCAGCGUAUUGUUACUCUGUGUUGUUAAAUGCAGCGUAUUGUUACUCUGUGUUUAAAUGCAGCUUAUUUUUACUCUGUUUGUU